CAGAUGCGUGCGUUUCACGCAGGAGCUCCGAGAACACACCCGUGUCCGCGUUCCCGCGCCGCCGCCCCGCACACGCCCAUCUGAGCGCACGGCCCGCGCGUGCGCACCCGGCCGCCAGCCACAGCCCGUCGCUGGCGCGUCCAGGCGCUUGGACCUGGUGAUCCGAGCACACAGUCCAGGCUGGGAGGGGUCCCUCAUCCCCAGGGCCGUGUCCAGGCUGAGACUCAAGAAGGGACCACCUCCUUCCACCCCCCUGGGCAUUCUGCACCCACCUUCGCCACCUCUCUGUCCCUCUCCCAGAUGCCCCUCCGCCUUCUGGGCAGGGCACGCUCCCUGCAUUAUUUUAAGAGGUGAAAGUCACAGAAGGUAAAAUGAACCGCGCCAAGGUGCACAUUCACGAGGCUCUGCAACCACCUCCGACUCCAGAACAUCUUCAUCACCCCAAAACCAAGCCCGUCCAAUCCGCAGCCCCACCUGCACCCGGAUCCUCUCCUCCCCCAGCCCCUCCGCAACCACCACCUGCUCUCUCCAGGGAUCUGCCUGUUGGGAAUAUUUCAUAUACAUGGAUUUAGACAACGUGCGACCUGUUGUGACUGGCUUUCUUCAGUGACUCACUUUUCUAGUUCCCACUUUAAGUGUCACCUCCUCAGAAGGACCUUCCCUGAUCUGCCCAGCACCUGAACACCCAGCCUCCUGCUCGGGGGCUCAAAGCCCUCAGCAUUUGACAUUAUCCUGAUCAUUUCUUUUGUGCACAGGAAGGUUAUCCACUUCCUUUGCAAAAGUGAGAAAGGGGUUUCAUUCUCUCGAGGAAGUCGUGAGUGAUUAGAUGAGGAAUGAAUAAAAGAAUCAUG
rnacentral:lncRNA from 1 species